rnacentral:rRNA from 1 species
CAGAGAGUGUGUGCCAGCAGCCGCGGUAAUACGGAGGAUGCGAGCGUUAUCCGGAUUUAUUGGGUUUAAAGGGAGCGCAGACGGGUCGUUAAGUCAGCUGUGAAAGUUUGGGGCUCAACCUUAAAAUUGCAGUUGAUACUGGCGUCCUUGAGUGCGGUUGAGGUGUGCGGAAUUCGUGGUGUAGCGGUGAAAUGCUUAGAUAUCACGAAGAACUCCGAUUGCGAAGGCAGCACACUAAGCCGUAACUGACGUUCAUGCUCGAAAGUGUGGGUAUCAAACAGG